rnacentral:rRNA from 1 species
UACGUAGGGUGCAAGCGUUGUCCGGAAUUACUGGGUGUAAAGGGUCCGUAGGCGGGCAUAUAAGUCGAUGGUGAAAUUUCGGAGCUUAACUCCGAAUCUGCCACUGAUACUGUAUGUCUUGAGUUCGAGAGAGGGUAAUGGAAUUCAUGGUGUAGCGGUGAAAUGCGUAGAUAUCAUGAAGAACACCAGUAGCGAAGGCGGUUACCUGGCUCGAUACUGACGCUCAGGGACGAAAGCGUGGGUAGCAAACAGG